ACAGAGUACCUUGUAAUACAGUACUGAGGGCUUCUUGCACUGGAAGAUAACUAUAAACCAAACCAGUUUUGUAUAGCGCAUGCGCAUUGGUAGUACUAUGAAAACUUUAUUCAUUCAUUUAUUUCGUGUGAGAUAGCUACAAAAGUUGUUUUCUCCAUUUUUGCUGCACGUGUAGCUGUUAAUAAAUUUUGAUGUUUCAAUAUGAUGUUGUGGAGUUUGACGAUGAUUCGUUGAUGGACAUCUUCGGGAUUUCUUGGCUGAUAGGUGAUGGAAAGAAAGAAACUAUUGGCCAAGAAAGGGUUGUUCCACUCACCAAAAAAGAAAUAGUCCUCCCGGUCAGGAUCGGGAGGUCUGUAAAGUGAAGAAGAUAUUGAGCCGAGCCAUAUCCUAUGCGGAAGCUCGUCACAUGAAAGCUGGAGCAAGCUUCGGAUUUCCUUCCUAGCGAGGAAGGUGGCAGAGAGAAAAAAAGGAACUGUAUUUCAGCUGAAUAGUCUUCAUCUGAUGACGAGCAGCCUGCUGGAGAGAGGAGGCUGAAGAAUUUGAGGCCGGAAGGCAACUUUCUGUCAGAGUGGGCGCCUCCUCGACCUCCUAGUAGGCUGUUUGAGGAUGAUCCUCAGCUGGAUAUUUCAGCGACCUCUGCCACCACAUCGGGAAGUUAUAAAUUUAAUUCCUAUGGCUGAAAAUUCCAAAUUGCCCCAGUAUGCUUGGGUGAGCCAGCAAGAAUUCGAAGGUAAGCAAACCGAAUUUGUUAAGAUUUAUUUUCAAAUGUUUCUUUUUUUAAAUUUUUAAUGUGACUUGCAAAUGUUAUUUCAAAGCACAUUUUGAGAACCCUAUGCCAUAGCUGCCAACUCUACUGGUUUAAUUGAAAUUCUGGUUUUUGUACAUUUUAGGAAAUUCCCAAAAAUUAAGUGCUGCUCUGCAUUACAGUGCUAAGGAGCAGGCUGACACAAUCAGCAGGGUGGAAGAAGCCAUCAAGAUUUGGUUGAAGUCUGCAAAAAGUAGACUUAAAAAAUUGUAAAAUAUGUAAAUAAAAUAUGUAUGUAAACUGUGUAUAUAUAAGUAAAAAUUUGUUUCUUUAUGUUAA